rnacentral:rRNA from 1 species
AUACGAAGGGGGCUAGCGUUGUUCGGAAUUACUGGGCGUAAAGCGCGCGUAGGCGGAUUGGUCAGUUAGGGGUGAAAUCCCAGGGCUUAACCCUGGAACUGCCUCUAAUACUGCCAGUCUAGAGUUCGGGAGAGGUGAGUGGAAUUCCUAGUGUAGAGGUGAAAUUCGUAGAUAUUAGGAAGAACACCAGUGGCGAAGGCGGCUCACUGGCCCGAUACUGACGCUGAGGCGCGAAAGCGUGGGGAGCAAACAGGAUUAGAAACCCCAGUAGUCC